CAGAACAUCAUCUCGAUCCCUUUUCCUUUCCUCUCCCAAAACACACGCCCCUCUCCUCCCUCUCCCACAGCUAGGGUUGCCGCUGCCGCCCUCCCCAUGCUCGCGGCCUCUCCAUCUCGCACCAGGAGCUCCCGCGCCGCCACGUCCCCUCGCCAUGCAGGCUUCGCCGCAGAAGAGAGCUAGCGCGCCCGCGCCCGCGCCGCCGGGUAGCAGCCAUGCCCAGAGGAGGACGUCCAUGGAGCCAGCAUCCCCGUCGUCGACCUUGCACACACGGAAGGUCUCUGCUACUGGCCGAGGUCGACCAGGUCGACAACGCGCUCGCCGGCCAGCAGCUCAUCCUGGAGCCUACGUACGGUCACUUGCUACCCCCGCCCCCUCCCUAUUGAUCUUGACAUGCCCAUGAGGAGCUAUGUAGUUACCCCAAGGGUAAAGUUUCUGUCUUGCUUCACGGGCCAUGGCUCCUUCUUCCCAAACCCCACUUUGUCUCCCCUUUGACUUGGCUAUUCCUGAUCUCGGUGGAUGACAUGUCUCAAAUUUCCAUUGGACAAGGCUACUAACAUAAAGGAGCAAACUGGAAAUUCACCUGCACAUUUUAGAAGCACAUGCCGAUGGUGCACUUGCCUUUGGAAUUAAAGAUCAGCUUACACUGACCAGAGAUCAUAUAAAAAUACUUGACUCUAUAGUAGUAUGAAGGGAUACAGAGAAGGGGGUCAGGGCAGUGGAUUCCCAUAAUGAUGCAAGAAAAAAAAUGUCUCUGGGUCCAACAUAUACCCUUGUAAGAAAGGAAGAAGCUUCUUGGUGAUGGAGAUGGUUCUCUUAUAUUUGGUAGGAGGUAGAAAAAAAUCCAGCAUGGGAAAACACCACAUUCAACAUGGUGUAAUUAUGAUUAUCUAAAUGAGUGCUUGUGGUCUCUUUAUGGCCUUAUUUUCUGGUCACAUACCGACACACGUUUUCAAAUUUUCUCUAAUAGAUCCUACUCUGUUUCAGUACAUCUAAUUGUUUCUCACUAGGAUGGCCAAUGCGGGAUGAUGGUGACUUCUUCAAAUCUGUGCAAGCUAUCUCCUCUUCAGCAUCACUGUAUUUUUGAAAAUGCACUGAGAAUGAUUGAAUACAGCUAAUCAUUUUAGAGGUUUGUUGUAGGGUGCUCUACGAGGUACUUUGUUAAGAUAUGCUCUUUCUGUGGCUGCCAUUUUAGCCAUUGAGGAUUUAACUUACCAGGUUAUAUCAUCAUUAAACAUACUUUCUUUUGGAGCCUUCUUUGUUCAUGCUUUGUAGUUUUUUUACAGUAUUUGUAAAUUCCUGAGGUAACUGAGGAAACACACAUUUAGUUGUGUGUUUGAGAAAAAAUAUUCAUGAGCUUAAGUCUUCAGUGUUAGUGAAAGUUGAAACUAUACACUUGCUAUUUCUGUAGCGUCAUCAGGGGGCAGCUUAUUUUAUCAACAUAUGCCAGCCUGCAUAUUUAUUUUGUAUGCAAAUCUAUUCAACCCAAAUGCUUAAUGGUCUUGACUGUACUCUAAAUAUCGUGGGAGAUAUCAUUUUGAGAUUUAACUAGCCUACUUUCUAUUGGUUUUCAGUAUGAAUAUGUCCUUCCUCUAAAUCUGUGGGAAAGGUUCACCAGAAGUGCCAGGUAGAUGUAGCACUGACACUACAUUCCUAAAUAUAAGUCUCAAAAGAAUAUUAGUACACCGGUCUUUAUGAUGCGAUGAACGUUUUCCUAAUUGAACCGAUGCAGCGAAUAUUAGCACACCGGUCUUUUUUAACAAUACACCUGACAUUAACGACCCAAAUGCAUGUUCGAUUUUACUGCCAUCCGAUAUCUGUGCAUGGUAAUAUCAAAACAGAAAAAUAUGGAAGGGCAUGUUUUUUUGGUACAAUGUGAAGUGGAUUCAUGAAUGGGUAACUGGUACCUUCAUUUGAAUAAACUUCGUCCAAGAAUUUUGCUGCCAUGCAAUGUUCUUCAGUUAUGCGAGUGAUGAUCUAACGUUGUGCAAGUACACAGUUUCAUAUGUUUGCUUAGUUAAUCCAAACACACCAUGCCCAUGAUCAUAUGAAUAAACUGAAGGACAUGCAUGAUAUCACCGAGAGUGAAUAAAGUGAUGUGCCCUGAUAAAAUAUGAAAUUUUUUCAAGUGUAAUUACAUUGAUUAGAUGAUGCUGGUUUUCGAAAUUUCAAACAAUACAUCACCACCUCUGUUUAGAAACACUACAAAUAGCAACCUACCUCUGAAUCUCAUAUGGUUCUCUGAGAUUUGUAUGUCGGCUUACCCAUUAUAAUGCCCUGUAGGUGUCCAAAACACCAUUACACAGGUCAUUCUGCUUUUGUAAUAAGGUAUUAGCUUGCAUACGUGCAAUUUUUAGCUAGCAUUAUUCUUAGGAGGAUGGAGGCACUAUUUCCCCUCCCUCUUCGUCACACACCUAUCAGUCGUCGGCGUCGCCACUGACCGCCGUGACCUGGUCUACUGCGGAAUGCGUCGCUAAAAAGAUUGAGAAACCUCUUUCCAACAUACUUCUAUUUGUGAUGCUUUGUUCGGGAGUGCUAUCAUAAUUUCAUUGAUGUGCUAUUGUGCUUAUAAGUACUGAUGAUGGAUUCUAUUUCUAUGACAAAUAUCCAUUUCAUAUUUUUGCAGCAUUGUUAAGUGUUUUUGUUUGCCCUGAUUUACAGUGGGUGUUAUCCUCGAAAGAGAUCAACUUCCCAUAUCUAGUGGCACUAACUUUGUUGCAUAUGGUGUUCUCAUCUGUAGUAUGCUUUGCAGCUACAAAGAUUUUCAAGAUACUUAAUAGCAUCAGAUUUUUACAUGGUUGCCAUGGAUAUCUCUAAUCUGUGUAAUAAUUAAGACGUCAUACUUUUGGAAUUCCAAUUACUUUGUUGACAUUCAAGAAAUCCAUAUCUUACUAUUUUUUUAUGUGAGCUUAUCAUGUGCUCUUAGUAUCUUACAAAAUUUUGAUGUACUUCACUUUCCUGAUACUAUACUGCCAUGGGUCAUUUCGCUAAUGGAGGUGUGUGGUGCAAUCUAAGUUGGAGUACACCUUGUAUGCUCAUAUAUCCCUCAUGUUGCUAAUCUACAGGAAGACAUUCUAUCUUAUAUUUUUGUUGCCUAAAGAAACAAAUGAACCUCAUGUUUUUCCUUGAUAGUCUAUUAGUCAUGCCGUUGGCUAUUGUUAUUUGGAGUGUAGAUUGAAAUGCUUCAGAUUUUGUGCCUCAUGUAAUAACACAAUUAUGUUAUGAAAUCAAACUAUCCUAUUUCUAAUAAGAUUAAGUCUAUCUAUUGGCUGCUAAUGAUUGUGUUCACAAAUAAAUUAUAUUGUUGUUUAUUAAGUGUUUCUGCCAGAUGUGUUCCGCAUGCUCAUUUGUUUUGCUAAUAUGAUGUUAUGGUGGCGUUCAUUUGUCCGCUGUACCAUUGAGCUAUGUUGCUGCAUGUUAUGGUGGCGUUCCAUUGUCUGAAUUUGGAUCGUGGUGCAGGUCUCGGCAGCACCCAAUGGCAGGCUGAAUGAUGUGGUGGCAUCUCCAAACCCUCAGGUGUCGUCCGCAGGGCAGUGGGCAACAAUAGGGCAGCAGGAGUACAAGAAUGCCAACAUGUAUGCUGGCGCUGACCCCUACGUAGUAUUACUACAGAGGCUGGGGGAUUAUUCAGUCUAUGUGGGCGUUGACGGAGCAGAGUCAUUUAACCCUGGAAAUGUGCUAGCAAGGGUAUGAUCGAGCAUGAUGGACAUGAUGGAUGGCAGGAAAUAGAACUAUAGAAAGGGAGAUCUCGUGAAGUGUUUUGGCGAAUGGCGAUGCAAUGCUUGUGCUCCUGGUAGCAGGCCAAUGUGGUUGGAUGAGCUCAGCACAUCAAAUGGUGCAAUCGAGUUGUAUGCCAAAAAAUGAUUGUCUUCGGGAUGCCAAGUUGUCUCUAGAGGAGGGUGGAUCCCUUAACUGUGAGAUAAUUUCAAGCCGCAAGAUAAUGGCACAGACCCAAGCAUGUUGUGCUUCAAGAUGAGGAGCCAGGCCUGACGACAAACACAUGAAGUGGUGGUGCGAUGGAAGAAUACGGCUUGGACAAUUCCAGCGAGAUGUGGCUCGCGUGGAUGUCGGCGAUGCAGCAAUCAGAAGAUCCUUUGGUUUGACUGCUCCCAUGUCCUCCAAUCCUUCUGUUUUCCUAGAAUUUUUUUCUCUUUCUUCCAUGAGUAGGGAUUUAAUCUUUUGAAGUUUGUACAAGGGGUUUGCUGACCACCUGAUUGCCAUUCCUCUUCUCCUUGCCUAUCUUUUGGAGCAUGUUAGGCUUUGAUUUCAAUUUAAUGUUGUGCUCUAUCAUCCACCUUGUAAGACUGUCACAUACUAUAUGAUAAUAUGGACCUAUUAACUUGA